UUGGGACAUACUUAUACUAGA
rnacentral:miRNA from 1 species